rnacentral:lncRNA from 1 species
GUUGCACUUGUAGCACCUAACUUCUUUCUUGCUCCAGCUCUUUCGAGACUUUGACCGUCUUCUUGACUUACCUCUUUCUCUUCAUUUUUCAGAUCUGUCCUCCAUGGCCAAGCCCUCCUAGGGAGCACCUUCUUUGGUCAAUUUCUCUCGCUGUUCAUUGGACUGCAGCACCGAGACCAUAUCUUGAUACUGCAAGGUCUCCUUACCAUA